rnacentral:sRNA from 1 species
UUUCCAUCUUGAAAGCAUUGGAUGAUUCCUGUUGUUGGGGCUCUGACUUGAGAGGAAAAGCUUAGGGAGUUUGACAGAGUUCCAGGAAGGCUUCCUGUAAGAGGUGGCAUGAUGGUACUGUUAAUAAUUAUAACCAUUUGCUGUAUCACAUGUACCACAUGCCAGUCACUGUGUUACCUACAUACAUCAGCGAUGCCACUUCUUGCCAAGUCAUCCUUACAUCUCCUUGUGUGUGGAGUCCAGUUCUACUCACAGACAGCUCUUGCUAAAGAGCCGAGCAAGGAGUAACUGUGCAGCAGAUCUUUCACUUUAGGGCACAGUACCGACCCAAGGCCAGUCCCACUAUCUGUGAGUGAGUGGCCCAGCUUUAGUAGAUGAGGUGGACCAAUCCGAUCAGCUCUCCUUGGGAAUGUGAAAUAAGAGAUGCAGAGGGAUGUUGCCAGUUAGUUGUGGGGAGCUAAGCUGAGAGGUCCAGUACACCAAGAUGCUGGUUGGGUUGGGAGUGCUAUGGACUAGGUCAAGUGCCUGUUGAACAGCUAAAUGUAGUUGGCCAAGCAAGGACAUGGGGCAGUUGUGCAGAGAGAAGCAGGCUUGUGACGUGGAUGAGCCAUAUGAACGACAGACCUCUAGAGCAGAGAGGUUCAUGCUACAGCUAGACAUUUCCUCAAGCUCCAGGUACAAUGAGCUCUAUUUGAAUUCCUACCCUUGGAUUUCUGCUUCCUGAUCUUGCUUCAUUUGGUUUCUGUUUCUUGCAUCCAAAAGAGGCCCAACCCAAGCAACCCUUUCCAUAGAUUCCAUUUAAUUUGUGCUUCAUCCCCUCAGAGGGGUUGGGGUUGUAGUGCUGAACCACCACACCUGACAUUACUGUUUGGGAAGGUCACCAGCCUUCUCAUACUGAAGGGGAAGAGCCAAGCCUUUGUUGAAAUAUACAUGCAAGAGGUUGCUGACACCACACGUAUCAGUGCCAUGCUGCCAGUCCAACUAUGUCUAGUUCUUCAAGCACAAGGUGCUCAAGACCAAUAGCUCCCCACACAAGGUGCAUGCCAAUCGGGUAAUCUUACAGGUGGUGAAGUCAGUACAUUUGAGAAACCUGGUCUUCAUGGGCUCCAGUGGCCCACAUACACCAAGAUGGUGAUGGUUGACCAGAACACCGAACUCAGGAUCAUCAUGGGAAAAUCUCUGCUACUCAGUGAUCCUGGAUGCUCUGCACCAGGCCUUCUUCAAGUGUGGCACUGUCCUCAGUAUCAUCAUCUUCACUAAGACCAACCAUUUCCAGGCAUACUAUCAGCAGCAGUUGCAACUGCAUCAUCAUUUCAAGUCUGAAGGUGUCAGGGAUUCCAUCUUGCUGGCUGGCAACCUGAACACAAGAAAGCACAGAGCCAAGCCCCUUUAUUCUCUUCAGUAUCUAUGGUUAUGUGAAGCAGGUGAAGAUCUUGUUCAACAAGGCGAAGACAGCAGGUAGGCCCAGCUGGCCAUGAGGCACCCAAACAAACUAUAUGGGGAGCCAAUGCAUAUUACAACAUCAAAGCACCAGAGUGUGCAGCUGCCUUGUGAGGGGCAGGAAGACUGGCUUCACCAAAGACGCUGAUAGCUCACCAGUGCACUGCUUCAAGAAGCUGGGCCCCAAGUUCUUUAAGAAUUUCUUCCUGUUCUCAGCCAUCCGGCAACUCAUCAACAUCCCUUCCUCAGUGUCAGAGCAGUUCCUCAAGAACUUCUCAAGCAACAAGGGCAUGACCAAGGGCUUCAAAUUCUUUCAGGGACUGCAGCCCUGAAUUCAUGCUCUCUGUCCCAUCCAUCAUCCCUACUAGAAGAACUACAUGAUGGUUCUGAUCCAGAUAAGUUUGUUGGAGGAAGAAGUGCAGGCACCCAUUAAGCUGCAAAUCCACGACCAAAGCAUCCCUGAACAAAAAGAAUAAUGCUGGUGGGAUUGUUACUCCAGAAUUCAGGAUAUAUUAUAGAUCUCUAGUAAUGAAAAUAUGGCACUGACAUCAAAGAGACAUGUAUGCCAAUGGGACAAAAUAGAAGACCCAAACAUGAGUACUUGUAACUGCAGCCAUCUGCUAUUUGAUAAAGAGGCAAAAAACAUACCCUGGAGAAAAGACAGAGCAUCUUCAACAAGUGGUGGGUAAAGCUGAAGACUGUAUGGCGACAUGCAGAUGAAUGGAUCGGACUCAUACCUGUCCAAUCAUACCCAACAUUAGAUCCAAGUGUACCAAUGACUUCAAUUUGAAACCUGCAACAUUAAAGCUGCUGGAAGUAAACAUAUGCAGUUUCCUUCAAGAGAUAAAUGAAGGGAAGGACCUUCUCAACAGGACCACAUUUGUUCAGGAAUUAAGGUCAGCAAUUGACAACAGGGACCUCAUAAAACUGAAGAGCUUUUGUGCAGCUAAGGAAAUAAUCAAGUGAAGAGGAAGCCUACAGAAUGGGAGAGGGUCAUUGCCAGCUACACAUCUGUUAGAGGGCUAAUAUCUACAAUAUAUGAGGAACUCAAAGAACAAAGAGUCAAGGAAACAAACAGCCCAAUUAAAAAGUGGGCUGGGGAUGUAGACAAUUUCAACAGAAGAAAUAGAAAGGGCUAAGAAAUACCUCAGAAAAAGUGUCCAACUUCCUUAGCAAUUAGGGUAAUGUAAACUAACCCAACGUUGACAAUUCUUAACGAGACUACUGACAACAAAUGCUGCUGCAGAUAUGUCAGCGGGAAUGUCAACUGGCACAGCCACUCUGAAAGUCCAUAUGGAGGAUCCUCAAAAAGCUAAAAAUAGCUCUACAAAAUAACCCAGCUCUACCCUUCGGCAUAUGCCCAAGGGGUAUCCUCCUCUACAGAUUCUUACCUGACUCUGUUCACUGUUGCUCUAUAGCUAGGAAAUGGAAACAAAUGAGAUGUCUGACAACUGACAAUUGAAUAAUGAAGAAGGUCUAAGAAUCCAGUAGUUAUUCAGUGCCAGAGGCUGGAUAUCUCAGCCGAUCUUCAGAAUAUGUCAGAGCCCUGGCAAAGUAGGCUCUAAUGCUCGUAAAGGGAUGGACUUGCUAACAAGGCGAGAGCAAGCACGCAAGGAAAGAGCAAGCUGCCUUCUUCGAUGUCCUUCCUAUAGGCUUCCAACAGAAGAGAUAAUGUAACUACCACCAGGAAGCCUGUCUCUACUGCAAAUGGAAACCAUCACAGGAAACCACAACUGGGCACACUGCACAGACUGGCAGAUUGGGGGAGCUCAGGCCCACGGACACGUAAAGCUCAGCUCUAUGGCCCAGGAAACACUGAGGAAGAGAGUGGAAAGAUUGUAAGAGCAAGAAUACCUGGAAGCCUGCGAAGUUUCUUCCAGAAAUGGCUGUAUAAAUAAAACCAGAACAAUGCCAAUGUCAAUGGAAAUUUUGACAUAGGAGAGCAAAAUUUUCACUGGACAGAGAACUCUAGGCAACCAAUGAGUCCUGGGAGAAUUAGCCUCUCCCAAGGAUAAGCCCAAAUACUGGUUGUCUGAUGCAGAGUGAUCAGACUAGAGACCAUUUAUACUCAAACAACAAAAGUGGACUCAGUAGCUUGGAUGUAUACACACAUAUACAUAGAUAUGCAUGUAACAAUAAUAACAGAACAAGCCCAUCAACCUGAGAGUAAGGGCUGGAUAGGUAGAGGCUGGAGGGAGGGAAGGCAGAGAGAGAAGCAAGGUGUAAUUCUGCUUUAAUUAAAAACUUAUCAACUGAAA